UCGUGCUCGUGCUCGUGCUCAGGCCUAAUACAUGCAAGUCGAACGGUAGCACAGAGGAGCUUGCUCCUUGGGUGACGAGUGGCGGACGGGUGAGUAAUGUCUGGGAAACUGCCCGAUGGAGGGGGAUAACUACUGGAAACGGUAGCUAAUACCGCAUAACGUCGCAAGACAAAGAGGGGGACCUUCGGGCCUCUUGCCAUCGGAUGUGCCCAGAUGGGAUUAGCUAGUAGGUGGGGUAACGGCUCACCUAGGCGACGAUCCCUAGCUGGUCUGAGAGGAUGACCAGCCACACUGGAACUGAGACACGGUCCAGACUCCUACGGGAGGCAGCAGUGGGGAAUAUUGCACAAUGGGCGCAAGCUGAUGCAGCCAUGCCGCGUGUAUGAAGAAGGCCUUCGGGUUGUAAAGUACUUUCAGCGAGGAGGAGGGGGAUGUGGUUAAUAACCGCAUUCAUUGACGUUACUCGCAGAAGAAGCACCGGCUAACUACGUGCCAGCAGCCGCGGUAAUACGUAGGUGGCAAGCGUUAUCCGGAUUUAUUGGGCGUAAAGCGAGCGCAGGCGGUUUUUUAAGUCUGAUGUGAAAGCCCUUGGCUCAACCAAGGAAGUGCAUCGGAAACUGGAGAACUUGAGUGCAGAAGAGGACAGUGGAACUCCAUGUGUAGCGGUGAAAUGCGUAGAUAUAUGGAAGAACACCAGUGGCGAAGGCGGCUGUCUGGUCUGUAACUGACGCUGAGGCUCGAAAGCAUGGGUAGCGAACAGGAUUAGAUACCCUGGUAGUCCAUGCCGUAAACGAUGAAUGCUAGGUGUUGGAGGGUUUCCGCCCUUCAGUGCCGCAGCUAACGCAUUAAGCAUUCCGCCUGGGGGAGUACGACCGCAAGGUUGAAACUCAAAGGAAUUGACGGGGGCCCGCACAAGCGGUGGAGCAUGUGGUUUAAUUCGAAGCAACGCGAAGAACCUUACCAGGUCUUGACAUCUAGCGCCAAUCCUAGAGAUAGGACGUUCCCUUCGGGGACGCUAAGACAGGUGGUGCAUGGUUGUCGUCA
rnacentral:rRNA from 1 species